AUCAUGUUUUUCUUCAGUAUCUACAGUCUAUAUUCCUCAUCUGGAAUAUAGAGUAAAGGAAGAUAUAGGUGAACUGCUGAUUCCUGUUAGAAGAUCUGGAGAUGUUUGUCAAGAACUGAUGGUCAUUUGUUCUACACACCAAGGUUCUGCUACCAGCGCAGUACCAUCCAGUUUUGUCUUACUCUGACUGCGUCUUAUGUCCUGAAGAUCACAGCAGCAUUGUUCAUUUUAAUGAGACUGAGAAAAUCUGUCAUAUUAUCAUUGUUGAUGACUCUGUGAGGAAGAUGAGACCUUCAAUAUUUUGCUGAGCAUACUAGUGGAUGGCCAAAUUGGCACUGAAUUCCCAAGCGCUAAAGUAAUAAUCUUGGCUGAUGCCGAUAAUGGUCUUUGCCAGCUUCACAUCACAGGAGCAGUAGGAGCAGAACCUUUCUCAGCUAAAAUUCGCUCUGCAGGUCCAGAUGAUCCUGACCACCCCGAUCUGAUCUGACUAACAGUCACAAUGCCCCAUAUGGAUGGAAUGCUGCCAGUCAUCUUCACACGCCCCUUAUCCAACUUUGAGCUAACACUUAGCCCAGAUGGCAUUCACAUGGGAUUCCACAAGUGCUCCAACCUGCUGGACUAUAAUGAGAUUCAGACCAAACAUGAGUUUGUUACAGAGGAAACUCAAAACCCCCAAAGUGACUGGAGAAAUGUCACCUUACCAGUACAGCAGUACUCUGCGGUCUGCCAAAACCUCAUGUUUCUACCAGAACCUCAAAUCUGAGGCUUGCCUUGGGAGUUCAACAGUUACUACAAAAUAUCUGAACUGCUGACAUACUGCAGUGGCUCCAUUGACACAGAUGGGCAGACUCCCUCUAUCCCACAAGUAUGAGGAUCAAUGAUGAAGUGCAACUAGUGGUGAACUUCCGAAGAGAGAUGAAUUUCCAGGACCAGCUGGUGAUGUCCUACCCAGGUAUUAGAUUAUUCAGGUACUCAGGCUGUGAUUUCAUCUUUUGCAUUGCUGCGCCUCGUCAGCAAUCUGCCCUUCCCAUCAUCUGCAACCCAAGGGACCAAUUGCAUUUAGAUGUGGACCAUCAGGUUCCUACAGGAGGUUAAUGAUACACAGGAAGAUGAUUUUAUGAAGAAGGAAAUAACUGGAGUUGUGGUGGUAUCUGCAUAUUAGGUCAGUGAUCCAGUGGCAACACAGCUCAGUCUAAAUACUCAGAUGUUUCUGCUAUCCAGUAAGGACCCUUGGAUCUCCAACGGAUCAUAGGAUUUGGAGAAGGCACUGAUGUAGCCUUUAGCAAAGG